rnacentral:pre_miRNA from 1 species
UGGGGUUUCCUAGCGGCAUGUGCCUUCUUCUAUGCAAUGCCCUUGGAAAUCCCAAA